rnacentral:rRNA from 1 species
CCUACGGGUGGCAGCAGUGAGGAAUAUUGGUCAAUGGCCGUAAGGCUGAACCAGCCAAGUCGCGUGAAGGAAGAAGGAUCUAUGGUUUGUAAACUUCUUUUAUAGGGGAAUAAAGGUAUCCACGUGUGGAUAUUUGCAUGUACCCUAUGAAUAAGCAUCGGCUAACUCCGUGCCAGCAGCCGCGGUAAUACGGAGGAUCCGAGCGUUAUCCGGAUUCAUUGGGUUUAAAGGGUGCGUAGGUUGUUUUAUAAGUUAGCGGUGAAAUACCGAUGCUCAACAUCGGGGCUGCCGCUGAUACUGUAGGACUAGAGAUCGGAUGCAGCAGGCGGAAUGUGUAGUGUAGCGGUGAAAUGCAUAGAUAUUACACAGAACACCGAUUGCGAAGGCAGCUUGCUAGGCCGGAUCUGACACUGAUGCACGAAAGCGUGGGGAUCGAACAGGAUUAGAUACCCCAGUAGUC